AAUUAAUACUAAUGCCAGACACUUGGCCUGAAGUAUCAUCUUCUCAUUUUGAUGUAGAGUUUCCCUCUUCAUUUGGUCUUCCUUUUUUUUUUUUCUUCUCAAAUGAUAAAGAAUAAAUAAGACUGAAUAUGCAGAGCACUACUUCGUUUGAAAAUUGGCUUUCUCAGUACCAGGCAUAAGUUUGUACUUUUCUACAACCCAAGGCCCAUAGAACCCCUACCGUUAAGCUGCUCCAUGAUACCUAUGAGAUCUCUGAAAUUCUGGUCUGACAGUUCUGAGAUGACUCAGUCUUGCUCCAAGUUCAGAAUGUAGCUUAUUCACAUAUACAAGGAAAAGGCUAUAGAAACUAUUUUCUUUGGGAGUGGAGUCAAAUACUUGGUGGGGGAAAAAAUAGCUCCAUGAAGAUAAACCAAGAGGAAGAUGGGUAGGCAAAACUAAUACUCCAUUAGGAAAGGAUGUGUUUUUAAUCUCUAUAAAUAAUCAGGGUUGAACCAGUAGGAUAUCUACAUCUACCUACCUACCUACCUACCUAUCUAUCUUGAUACUAUGUAGAAAGAGAUUUAUUAUGAGAGACUGGCUCACAUUAUUACAGAGGCUGAGAAGUCCCAUGAUCUGCCAUCUGCAAGCUGGAGAACAGGAAAGCUGACGGUGUAGUUCUAAUCCGAACCGGAAGGCCUGAGAACCAGGGAUGCCGACAGUGGGAGACAGACUCUCUUUUUCCCAGAUCCAUGUCAAAAAAAUACUGGGGAAGAACUGCAAUUGGCCAUUUCAGGUGGCUUCUCACCCUUGGACCAAUCAGCUGUGACAAGGAGGGCUGGAUCAUGUUUUAUUUACUUGAGAGUGAGAGCACAAGCAAGGUGAGAGGCUGAGAGUAAGAAGCAGACUCCCUGCCGAGCAUGGAGACCGACGUGGGGCUCGAUCUCAGGACCUGGGAUCGUGACCUGAGCCGAAGGCAGACACCCAAUAGACUGAGCCCUACCCAGGAGCGCCUCCAUUUCUUGGGGUUCUCAAUGGGGAUUGAUUUCAUCCUCCAGAAGAUAUUUCUGUGUGGAAACAAAGAAUUAUCCAGCCCCAAAUGUCAAUAGUGCCAAGGCUGAGAAAAUCUGGUGUACAAGAAGUGUCCACCUUCCUUUGGGGAUUGUUUUCUCUGAACUGGACAAUGCAGUUUUGGUGGAGCCAUAAACCAUACACCUACUCUCUGACUCCGAUGGCAAGGACCUCACUAGGCUGGGUCCAGGUUUGGAGCCCCACUUCCAUGGCCAUAUGACCAAGAAUGGACAUUUGGAUCAACCUGCACCGAUCCUGGCCUGGGGAUGUAUCCUGCAGAUGCAUUCCUACAGAUGUGCAUGGCGAUUGACCAGGAUAUUCAAGAAUUAUUUGUAAUAGCACUUACCACCCGAAUUUUUAUCAAAGGGUGACUGAUUAAAUUAUGGUAAAGUCAUACAAAGAAACACUGUCUUGUGUUUGUUUGUAAAGAGCUAACUGGGUAAGCUAGAACAUUUCCCAGAGUGCCCUUUCCUGGAGGAUACCUGAGUUAGAAUUGUCUAAAAGAGGAAUUGGUGGAAGCCUUGGAAGAUGGAAGUGAUCAGCAUCAUGACUCUCUUAGGGGCGUAGAAGUGAGAUGUAGUGCCAGACAGACUCAGGGGUGCUGGUGGUUUUUAGCAGGCCCUUGCUCUUUUUUACUCCAUGUCCAGCUUUGCUCGAUGUCCUUUUCUUUGCUCCAUGUCUUCCUGACUGGUACUUUGCCACAGACCUGCAGAAGGAACAGCUGCCCAUAGACUUGCCCCCCAUUUUCCUUUUUGGUCCUGUUUUGGCAGCAGGAUGUGCCUGGCUUCUUAGGUUGACUGGUUGGUGAUUCCUCUGAAAUGUCAACUCCCCCUUUUGGAUCUCUGCUUCCCCAGCUACCCCCCAAUAUAGAGUCUAAUUUCUAUAAUAUAUCCCUAAUAUCAUAACUCUAAAUGGUUUUGCUUCCCUGAUCGAACCCUGGCUGACACAACUGUAUAACCUUUGAAAGCAAUGAGGCAGCUCUAUAUACUGAUGUGAAUUGAUCUCCUAGAUAUAUUAAGUGAAAACAGCAAGGUGCUAAACUGAUGAAAAAUAUUACAGAUAAAGCUAGAGUCCGUUUUGACCAAUAACUCUAAUCCUGGUCCCCAUUUCUUUUCCCCAGAGGUAAAUACUGUUAUUAACUCUAAAUCAAUUCUUAUGGUCUGGGGAAGAGUCCUCAGCAAAUUGCAACUCCUGUAGGAGUUGUUGUGACAAGAUUAUUUUAUUGACAUAUAAGUAACAUAGAAUAAAAUGCACACAUUUUAAGUGCUCACCUUGGUGAGUUUUGAUAAUUGUAUAAACCUGUGUAGCCAUCGCCCCAAACAAGACAUAGACCAUCCCUCCUCAUUUUUCUGUGUUCUUUUCUGGUCAGUUAUCCUACCCACUAUUGUAACCACUACCUCAUUUCUUUUCUUUCUUUCUUUUUUUAGAUUUUAUUUAUUUAUUUAUUUAUUUUAGAGGAGGGAGAGUGUGUUGGUGCAUGCGUGAGUGGUGUCGGUGGGGGGAUGGGUGGAGGGGCAGAGGGAGAAGGAACCUCAAGCCGACUCUGCACUCAGCACAGAGCCUGAUGCGGGGCUCAAGAUCAUGAACCUGAGAUCAUGACCUGAGCUGAAGCCAAGUCGGUUGCUUAACUGACUGAGUCACCCAAGUGCCCCACCACUAUCUCAUUUCUGUCUCCAUUAGUUUUACUUGGCUUUCAUAUAAAUGGAAUUAUAUAGUAUGUAUUCUUUGAGUCUGGCUUUUUUAUUCAGCUUAAUGUCUUUUGAGAUUUGUCCAUAUUGUUUUUUAUGUAUCAGUAGUUGAUUCUUUUUAUGGCUGAGUAAUAUUCCAUUAUAUAGAUAGGCCCACAGUGUGUUUAUCCACUUCCUGUUGCUGGACAUUUGGGUUGUUUCCAGUUUGGGGCCGUUAUAAACUCUUAUAGCAUUUUGAAUGUAACUAAAAAGAGAUUGCUGGGGCCCUUAUUUGUAGUAUUUUAAAGACUGUGCAAACCACUACCUUAAUUUUCCCAGAGAACCUUUACUUCCUCUACAAAGAAUCAGAAAUUAGGUAAGAAAUUGUAAUUUGUACUUUUUUCCCCCAAAGUCUUACUAUA